AAAAAAAAAAAAAAAAGCUCCUUCUUUAGCUGCUCUGCCAGGGCCCAACAACCCCUGAGUGUCCCAAACAGUGUUUUAAAGUUUGUGUCUUUGCCCCACUGCAUUUAUUUAUUCAUUUCCCUCGGAUAACAAGCACACAGAUGCAGUUCCGUGGCCGCUGUGAAACAGGGACAGCUUUUUUUCCCUCCCCAAAAAAAGGCACUUCCCUGUUGUGUGGCUAUGGAAGGUGUGAGUUUUGGCUUUAAAAGUUCUCCUUAACCCAUCCUGAAUUGGACGCCUGAACUUGAUUAAUGAGGGUUCAAUCUAAUGAAUUUAUUUAAUAAAUGAAUUCAAUUAAGGGUCUUUAUCUUUUUUUCCUAAAUUUUAACCAAAACCCGCCAAAAUGCCCAAGUUUAAUUUUUCUAGUCUGGGGGUUGCAAGGGGUGGGGUGUCUGUUUACUUUUUCUUAAGAAUAUUUUCAGAAAUUCGGAGUUUAUUUUCACACAGUUUAUUUUCACAUUUGGCUGAAAAAGACCUUUUUUUUUUUUUUCCACUACCCAUUUGAUAUAAAAAACCCACCAAUUCCUUUCAAGUGGGGGAAACGCAAACUGGCCCAAGUCCCUGGUUGGGUUUGAAGGGAGGGCUCUGAGGUUGCUUUUGUGUUCCUGGCUUUAGCAGCUGCUUCCCUGGAUGCCCCCAGUGUCUGCUCUGCAUCCAGGGCCGGCUGCCUGGAAUCCCUUCCCUGGCUUUGCCUCCUUUCCUGCUGCACCAGCUUCAGCUCCAGGAGCUCAGGUAUUUUUCCCUCUUCUCCCAGAGAUAACAGAGGGGCCUGGAGCCUCGUUUGCUGUCGCUGCUGAGCACAUGUCCUCGUGUGAAAAGUGGGGUUUCCUUCCCCUGCAGUUGUGGUUGUGCUCAGUGACAAACAGCUGACAAAUUCUUUGCGGGAUCUUUGUGUUUCUUCAGCCGUUUUUCAGUCUCCAGACCUGCCUUUUAAUUUCCAUUUUAGUUCUUUAACUCCUCUCUCCCUCUGUUAAGGCCGUGGCACCCGACUGGCAAAGUCACCCUGGCUGAGUGUGGCAACUUUAACCCCCAGUCUGGCCUGAAUUUAGGACCCCACAGUGACCCGUCCUUGGGCGCUGCCAGGUCACCUCGCUGUGCCUGUGCCGUUCUCUCCCAGCCGGGCGGGUGAGGAUGUGCCUGGAAUGGGAACAUCCCGGCGGUGCAGCAGGAGCUCGGCGAUGCUCUGGCUCCCUUUGGUGGCCGACAGCUCCUAUAACUACCACCUCCAGCGCUCUGGCUUUGGAAACGCGGCCCUGCAGCGUCUCCCGACGAGGUGAUUAUUAACAGUAAUAAAGAAUUCCUUCACGGAAA